AACAGGAUUAGAUACCCUGGUAGUCCACGCCGUAAACGAUGAGUGCUAGGUGUUGGGGGUUUCCGCCCUCUGUGCCGAAGGUAACCCUAUAAGCACUCCGCCUGGGGAGUACGGCCGCAAGGCUGAAACUCAAAGGAAUUGACGGGGGCCCGCACAAGCGGUGGAGCAUGUGGUUUAAUUCGAAGCAACGCGAAGAACCUUACCAGGUCUUGACAUCCCGCUGAUCGGUGUAGAGAUAUGCCUUUCCUUCGGGACAGCGGUGACAGGUGGUGCAUGGUUGUCGUCAGCUCGUGUCGUGAGAUGUUGGGUUCAGUCCCGCAACGAGCGCAACCCUUGUCGUCAGUUGCCAGCACGUAAAGGUGGGCACUCUGGCGAGACGGCCGGUGAAAGCCGGAGGAAGGUGGGGAUGACGUCAAAUCAUCAUGCCCCUUAUGUCCUGGGCUACACACGUGCUACAAUGGCCGGUACAACGGGUAGCGAACCCGCGAGGGGGAGCCAAUCCAAAAAACCGGUCUCAGUUCGGAUCGCAGGCUGCAACUCGCCUGCGUGAAGCUGGAAUCGCUAGUAAUCGCGGAUCAGCAUGCCGCGGUGAAUCCGUUCCCGGGCCUUGUACACACCGCCCGUCACACCACGAGAGUCUGCAACACCCGAAGUCGGUGAGGUAACCUUCGGGAACCAGCCGCCGAAGGUGGGGCAGAUGAUUGGGGUGAAGUCGUAACAAGGUAACC
rnacentral:rRNA from 1 species